AAAGUAUAAAGCAAUUAUGCCUAUAGUUUCGACCUAUAAUAUUGAUUAUAAAUAAUCUAUACUUU
rnacentral:tRNA from 1 species